rnacentral:rRNA from 1 species
UACGUAGGAUGCAAGCGUUGUCCGGAAUUAUUGGGCGUAAAGCGAACGUAGGCGGUUUCUUAAGUUUGGUCUUAAAGACCGGGGCUCAACCCCGGGAAUGGACCGAAAACUGGGGAACUGGAGGAUGUCAGAGGAAAGUGGAAUUCCGAGUGUAGCGGUGAAAUGCGUAGAUAUCAGGAGGAACACCUGUGGUGUAGACAGCUUACUGGACCAUUUCUGACGCUGAGACACGAAAGCGUGGGUAGCAAACAGG